CUGUGGCAUGUUGCUGUGUUUACAUCGGAGCGACAGUCUCCUAACGCUUGACUCCAACAUGGUGCGUGUGACGUAUGCGCAGUUUGAGGAUGAGAAGCAGUGUGACGUCACUGUUAGCGAACCGCAGUCGCCCGAUGGAACGAUCCAUGUGGAGUAUGGGCUGCGAGCUGACGACUUCCUGGAGGACGAACACCUUUCUUGCUGGAGGAACAUUCGAGCAGAAAUUGCAAAGUUUGUCGACCAUUUCGCUGUACGCGUCACAAGUUUGUUGCUGGUUGCUGUCGACAUCAUCAUCGUCGUCAUCGACAUCGCUCUCGGCAACGACAACCUGCAUCGCACGUUCGGUACCAUUUCGCUCGUGCUCGUUAGCAUCUUCAUGGUCGAAAUCACCCUCCGCAUCAUUGGCAAGGGGAAGAAUUUUUUCAAGGAGUGGUAUAAUGUAGUCGACUUGGUUGUUACGUUGGUGACUUUCAUCAUCAGCAUUGUCUACCUGGCGUUAGAGAACAGCACACGUUUCCUACAUAUGAUUGAUGAAGACCUGCUUCUUACUGAUCGCACCACCAGACUUGUGGUCAUCGGUCGACUUAUUCGAGUUGUUCGAUUCCUAAGACUGUUCUCUGAGAAAGAGCAGACAAUCGCAGCUGCACGGCGCAUGAUAUCUGAAAACAAGCGGCGCUACCGACAGGAUGGGUUUGACCUUGACCUUACCUAUGUUACAGAUCGUGUCAUUGCCAUGUCAUUUCCAUCAACGGGCAAAAUGGCUCUCUACAGAAAUCCAAUUGGGGAGGUAGCCCGGUUUUUGAACUCAAAGCACAAAGAUCACUACAUGAUUUAUAACUUAUGCAGUGAAAGAACUUACGAUGUGAGUAAGUUCCAUGGACGCGUGGAAAGAGUUAUGAUAGAUGACCAUAACGUUCCAAAGCUCAGUGACAUGUUGAAGUAUGUGCAAAGUGUGAGCGACUUUAUCAAUGCUGAUCCAGCCAAUGUGAUUGCAGUGCACUGCAAGGGGGGGAAAGGUCGCACAGGUACCAUGAUCUGUGUGUGGUUGGUGCAGAGUGGCCUAUUUGAAGAGGCACAGGACAGUCUGGAUUAUUUUGGCUUCAGACGUACAGAUCUGAGCAUGAGUCAGAAGUUUCAGGGGGUUGAGACUCCUAGUCAGAGCAGGUUUGUCGGCUAUUACGAACAGGUGAAAACCAAGUAUAAUCACCAGCUUCCCCCAGACAAGUUCAUCAAGAUUGAUUCCAUCACUAUACACGGCAUAGCAGGUCUAGGAAACGGCGAUGGUAGUGAUCUUUACUUUAAGAUCUUUGACACAAACAAGAUCUGUGUUCUGGAGGGCGAUGUGGGAAUGUACAGAAAUUGUCAGGUACAGCACGCUCCACUGCAAGACAUGGUGAAGGUUGACCUCCACAAGUGUCCUACACUCUCACAGGAAGUGAAGGUCAUGUUCUGGUCAAGGGUGAAAAAGGUUCCAUGUGAAUAUGACGACUGCGCCUUCUACUUUUGGUUUCACACUUCAUUUGUUGAAAACAGAUUACUCAUACCAAGGAAUGAGCUUGACAAUCCACAUAAACCAAAGACUUGGUCACACUACAAGGACAAGUUUUCUGUAGAGUUGGUAUUCAGUCGAGGCGAGACACAUGGCUCUCUACGAGUAAGCCCAGUAUGAUAUAUACUACCCACCAGUUUACACAUAUUGCUGCCUCAGUGCAUUGUUAGCUAUGGUGAACUAACCACUGCCACUAGUACUCCCAUGCUGAAAAGCCCGUGUGUCAUCUACAUGGUGAAUGUACUACACUCCUCCUAUACUGAAUCUGGUCUCAAGAGGCCACCAGCAUCACAGGUUAAGCUCAUGUGCUCACAGAUUAAGCUCACUCAUGUGAAUUACCCAUUGGUAAUUAGCAACACCUGCUUCUUGCCGAGGCCGUUAUUGAUUAAGUGGUUCAGGAGCAACAUGGUGAAAUAACUGCUUUUAUGUGUGCCGCAAGAGUUCAGUUUGCCAGAUUGAUCUGACACACAGAUGUCAUCCAGCCCUCUGUGUGACAAUAAUAUACAUACAGAUGUAGAAAACAAACUUGUGUAGAAUCACAGAUACUCUUCACACUGAGCAUCAACAAAGAAAAUGCUUUUUUAGACAAUCAUGCGUACGUAGAAUGUUUAGUACUUGUGGUUGAUGUGAAAUGCAUAUUUUUUCAAUUUAUACAGUCUUUCUUCGCUAUAAGGCGUACGUCGUGCCAUAUAGUGCAUGUCCAUGGCACGUGAUGCAUCUGGCUUUUUAUAGUAAUGCAAUGGAAUAUAAUGUCCUAAAAUAUCUUGUCUGAAAUUGUAAUUAUGUCUGUAAUAAUAAUUAUCCUGAUACGUUGGGUUAUAAAAAGACCCAGACAAUGAAUGUUAUUUAUUGCUUAGUAUAUGUGCUCUAUCAAGGCUUGAGUUUGGAGAGAGUGUGAACUGCAUUUACAGGAUACUGUUACUGGUAUAGGCGAAAGAGAAUAGAAUAGAAACAUUAAGACUUUGGUAGUAAAUACAGUUCGUGUUUAUUUACCAUCAUUUUAUUAUUGAAUGUUCCAAAUGCCUGUGUGUCAAACCAUGUCUUCCAAAAAUGUCUGAAGUUUGGCCUUGGCCCCACUGCCCUUUGACCUCCAAUUUUGCCAAGGUGACGGAUUUUCUCCCUAUGACUCUAUCUGCCAAAUAUCAGGAGCAUAGGUCAAGCCAUUUACUUUUGUGCCGCAAUAUUGAAAUUCCCCAAAACUGGUCUUAUACCUUACCCUUAAGUCAAGGUGGGAAUAUUCCCCCUUUCUUCCUCCUUUCUAGCCUUUGUUGAUCCCCCAAUUUCGAUCUCCUAAUGCAUUUUUGGAUUUCCCCCUACGUCCCGUGAAUGACAACACCAUCAUCAAGCCUGUCAGUAACAUCAAUGUUAAGCCUUCCCCUUGAGAGUCAACAGGUCACCAGUCAGCUAUUCUUUGCACAUUGGUGGAAAGUGCAUUUCAUUGCCCUAUCAAUAAAGCCAUAAAAACUGGUCACCACUGAAACGAGUUUUAUUUCACUUGCUCCGUCAGACCAUGUCUUCAGAGACUGUCUAAAAUCUGUCCUUGGUCAUACUGCCCUUUGACCUGUGACAGCAAGCUUUUGUGACCAUUAUGGAUUUUUACCAUUAUGCUAUAUAUACCCAAUAUCAAGAGCAUAGGCCAAACCGUUUACAUUUGUGCCGCAAUUACACAUUUCCUCCUUUACUGUCAUCAGAUAGAGACGAAAGGCAGGAGGUCUCGUUGUCAGUAGUUUAUUCAGUGAAAAACUAAAAAUGAAAAUACAGAGAAUACGUUCUUACUACAUACUACAGCUGUAUCCUACGUAAACAGUAAUUGUUCUCUUAGAAAACCGCGCGAAUAUAUAAACUCGAAUUGAAUGUAAUUUAGCUAUCAGAUUGAACGUACACCUAUUCUGCAUCUACGUCAACACUAUGAAUAUGACACAUGCUUUCUGAAGUUAUAAUAAUACUGCAGUAGAACGUUAGCACUAAAAAACUUACAUUUUGGCAUGCCGACGCUCGAUGGGACAGUAGCGGUGACACCGACAGUAGUGUACGCGCGAAGCAAAACAGGCUUUACAUAUAAAGGGUACGCUAUGAAACACGGGAAUUAAACAUGUGGCGCCCUCACCACUAAACUGAUUAUUCAAACAGGUACAAAUACAAACGUACCGUACAAAUACAUAUAAAUACUGCUGCGAUUAACCUCCUAUACCGGAAAUUAAGUGGGGAAUAAUACCCCUUCCUUCCCCCUUUCUAGCCUUUAACCCUUGCCCCCCCCCCCUGUGAUUCGAUAUCCCAAUGUUUUUUUGGAUUGCCCCCUACGUCCAGAAUAUCGACAACGUAUAUCAAGCCAUUUAGAUUUGCGCCCAUAGUGUUGAUGGGUAGACGAACAGACAAAGGGACAGACGGAUGGAUGCUAAUGCUACAAGCUGCAUCUGAUUGUGUCAGAUAAGCUAAACAA
rnacentral:misc_RNA from 1 species